AUACGUAGGUGGCAAGCGUUGUCCGGAAUUAUUGGGCGUAAAGCGCGCGCAGGUGGUUCCUUAAGUCUGAUGUGAAAGCCCCCGGCUCAACCGGGGAGGGUCAUUGGAAACUGGGGAACUUGAGUGCAGAAGAGGAUAGUGGAAUUCCAAGUGUAGCGGUGAAAUGCGUAGAGAUUUGGAGGAACACCAGUGGCGAAGGCGACGGUCUGGUCUGUAACUGACACUGAGGCGCGAAAGCGUGGGGAGCAAACAGGAUUAGAUACCCUGGUAGUCCACGCCGUAAACGAUGAGUGCUAAGUGUUAGGGGGUUUCCGCCCCUUAGUGCUGCAGCUAACGCAUUAAGCACUCCGCCUGGGGAGUACGGUCGCAAGACUGAAACUCAAAUGAAUUGACGGGG
rnacentral:rRNA from 1 species